rnacentral:rRNA from 1 species
GAAACGACUGCUAAGACUGGAUAGGAGACAAGAAGGCAUCUUCUUGUUUUUAAAAGACCUAGCAAUAGGUAUGCUUAGGGAGGAGCUUGCGUCACAUUAGUUAGUUGGUGGGGUAAAGGCCUACCAAGACUAUGAUGUGUAGCCGGGCUGAGAGGUUGAACGGCCACAUUGGGACUGAGACACGGCCCAAACUCCUACGGGAGGCAGCAGUAGGGAAUUUUCGGCAAUGGAGGAAACUCUGACCGAGCAACGCCGCGUGAACGAUGAAGUAUUUCGGUACGUAAAGUUCUUUUAUUAGGGAAGAAUAAAUGAUGGAAGAAUCAUUCUGACGGUACCUAAUGAAUAAGCCCCGGCUAACUAUGUGCCAGCAGCCGCGGUAAUACAUAGGGGGCAAGCGUUAUCCGGAAUCAUUGGGCGUAAAGGGUGCGUAGGCGGUUAAAUAAGUUUAUGGUCUAAGUGCAAUGCUCAACAUUGUGAUGCUAUAAAAACUGUUUAGCUAGAGUAAGAUAGAGGCAAGUGGAAUUCCAUGUGUAGUGGUAAAAUGCGUAAAUAUAUGGAGGAACACCAGUAGCGAAGGCGGCUUGCUGGGUCUUUACUGACGCUGAGGCACGAAAGCGUGGGGAGCAAAUAGGAUUAGAUACCCUGGUAGUCCACGCCGUAAACGAUGAGUACUAAACGUUGGUUAAAACCAGUGUUGAAGUUAACACAUUAAGUACUCCGCCUGAGUAGUACGUACGCAAGUAUGAAACUUAAAGGAAUUGACGGGACUCCGCACAAGCGGUGGAUCAUGUUGUUUAAUUCGGAGGUACCCGAAAAACCUCACCAGGUCUUGACAUGCUUCUGCAAAGCUGUAGAAACACAGUGGAGGUUAUCAGUUGCACGGGUGGUGCAUGGUUGUCGUCAGCUCGUGUCGUGAGAUGUUGGGUUAAGUCCCGCAACGAGCGCAACCCUUAUUGUUAGUUACCAGCACGUAAUGGUGGGGACUUUAGCAAGACUGCCAGUGAUAAAUUGGAGGAAGGUGGGGACGACGUCAAAUCAUCAUGCCCCUUAUGACCUGGGCUACAAAUGUGAUACAAUGGCUGUUACAAAGGGUAGCUGAAGCGCAAGUUUUUGGCGAAUCUCAAAAAAACAGUCUCAGUUCGGAUUGAAGUCUGCAACUCGACUUCAUGAAGUUGGGAUCGCUAGUAAUCGCGAAUCAGCAUGUCGCGGUGAAUACGUUCUCGGGGUUUGUACACACCGCCCGUCA